CCAAACAAAAGGGGUCGUCCUUGAUCUCCUUAUUGAUCAAUUCCAAAACCUUUUUUGCGUCCCCGAUCAAACCCAAAUGUGGUUUCCUUAGCUCAAUCUCAUCCUUACACACAUCCACCAAUAUAAAUUUCACGUCCUUAGACCACUUGGGAGGCUCUCCAAAGUGCAACAGCCAAUUAAGCCUAGCGUCAACCACAAGUGCGACAUCACAUUUACCAAUAGCAAGCGACCUUGCUGCACCUGCUGCAAGCUCAUGGGUAUCAGGCAACAAGCCUUUUCCCAUUGGAGUAGGCAAGAAUGGGACUCCAGUGGUUUCAACUAACUUCCUCAGUUCAUUCUCUGUUCGUGCAUAUGAUGCCCCUUUUCCAAACACAAUAAGAGGCCUCUCUGCUUUCCUGAGCAACUCCACGGCUCGCUCAAUUUCUGAGGUUGGAACCUCACUCCCAUUUGCAAUUGGUUUCGAUUCUGAAGAAUUCAAGGCAGCAGUUACCAAACUCUCCGCCUCAGAUUCCGUCACAGUUUGAUGCAAAACAUCAGAUGGAAGAUCCAAAUAGCAUCCACCG
rnacentral:misc_RNA from 1 species